UACGUAGGUGGCAAGCGUUGUCCGGAUUUACUGGGCGUAAAGAGCGCGCAGGCGGUCGUACAAGUCGCGUGUGAAAGCCCCCCGGCUCAACUGGGGGAGGGUCACGCGAUACUGUUCGACUCGAAGGCAGGAGAGGGAAGCAGAAUUCCCGGUGUAGUGGUGAAAUGCGCAGAUAUCAGGAGGAACACCGAUGGCGAAGGCAGGUCACUGGGCCGCAACUGACGCUGAGGAGCGAAAGCGUGGGGGAGCGAAACAGGAU
rnacentral:rRNA from 1 species